UGGGGGAAGCCAGGCGAUGUCCACUGAGCCGCCUUGUGACAAACCCCUGAAAAUGGAGGACAGCUGUAUAGCCAUAUAAGGCCUUGCCAGGAUGAAAGCCAAGGCGAGCAAGGAGGCAGAUAGUUCAGCCGCAGAUUCCUCUCCGUGAAGGCCAAGAGCAAAGCCUGCCGACCUCCCAAACGGGGCCCAUUUGUCACCAAGGAAGACAUCCCCUCCCUGCGCCCGGGAAGUGCCAGACAGAAUUGUCAACCCUCUUCUCAACUCCUUCAAAACAAGCUUAUGAAGCAACAGAAGGUUGAUAGAAGGGAAUCCUCUCUGAGACCAAGAUUUGCCCUAUGUAGGAUGGACAGAGGGAAGAGCCAUGAAGGAGGGCAGGCAUGUCAGUUUGUAGUAUAGAUAAUAUUUUCUAAUAUAUAUGGCGAAUUUAAAAAAAAAUGAAAUUAGUGUUUUUAUUUCACUAGGGUGCAUAGGGUUUUUUUAAUACAUGAAUCAAAUCAUGGGUUAACUCAGCUAAAGCUAACCCAUUCCAUCAAUGAAACUGAUCUAAGGGCCCUUCCACACAGCCAGAAUAUCAAGGCAGAAAAUCCUACAAUGUCUGUUUUGAACUGGGUUACCUGAGUCCACACUGCCAUAUAUUCCAGUUCAAAGCAGAUAAUGUGGGAUUUUAUUCAGCUGUGUGGAAGCGCCCUAAGUGUUGGUUUGCCAACUUUACCACCAAUAAAUGUUUCCAGCUCGCUUUAUUGGAAUUAUUGGCCUGCCUACUGGUCAACACACAUUUGGGUACCUUAAAUGUUAGUCCUGUUUCUUGGUAUCCUUGACCUGCUGAUCCCAAAAAUGGCAUCAGUUUUCUCCUAUUAGUGCUAGUUUUUGAGAUACAGAAUAUAUAGCAUAUACCACUCUUCACUUCACCUGCCUAUAAAAAACCAGGUUACAUAAUUAUUGUGUUUAAAUUAAUAUAUUUAAAGCAUGAAGAAAACAUAUUAAAAUUAAAGGAAAUGUGUAUUACAUGGAACUCUACUUAUUUCAUACAAAAAGUACACAUUUAUACAAAUGUUGGUCACACCAUAUCCAAGAAAUUUGAACUGAUGAAGUGUAUCCAAUGCAAUUUUCUGAAUGAGCACCUCAAAUAACCCCAGAACCAGGCCUAAAAAACCAAAACAUCCAAAAAUACUUUUGUGUGUGUUGGACUUUGUAUAGUCUUUGCCGUCUUUGAUCAGAAGCAAAUUAUCCCAGAAAUGUCAGGUUGAGAGGUUUGGGAGUGGAAACACACACAAGGAAGAAAGAAACUCUAAAAUUACACAUGAAUGCUAUCUGUUUGGGAUGAUGAGAUUGCCCUAUAUACACUACCUGAGAUUUGUGGCUGGGAUUCUCUUGAGAGUGGGAGGGUUUGUUCAAAUUCUGUUCUGUGCAAAUUAGUCUUCCAACAUUUAUGUCACUGAACAACAACACUUUUCUUCGAAUCUAAAGGGCAAAUUUCAUCUAUUCUAACGCUUAUGCACUCACUAUCCUUCUGAUAUGGAAAAUAUCAGCCCUAAAAGUGAUAACCUGGAAAUUAUUUGAAUUAUGUUUGGAUUAAUUAAAUAAGCUUUUGCAUA